UUGCGCCCCUGAUUGAACGGCAUGUUUGAGCUCUUUUUAUCAUUUUUUUCUUUGAAAAAUGAUAAAAAAGCGAGUAGUGAAAGCAGGAAAUGUG
rnacentral:misc_RNA from 1 species